CUCUGCAAGACUUUUUUGACCUCCAACACAUGUGACUUCAUGUAUGGUGAUGCAUUUGGGUUCCUUCCUUGCUCCUGUGUGCUGGAACAAUGACAAGAGGAAGCUGGUCAGAGGAGCGUCACUGCUCUGUCCUUAAUUUUCCUUGGGCAUUUGAGGGCGAUUUAAUAAAUGAGGCAGAGCCAAGACCUUUUGCUCCUCCUGCACUCAUCAAGCAAUCAUCGCCUCGUCACGCCUCAGCUUCAAAUACCUCGUUUGCAUGUGGCUGACCUUGACUCUCCUCCCUGGAUGGGAAGAUGAGGUUGGAAAGAGGCC